GCAGUGGAGGCUCAGUGGUAGAAUUCUAGCUUUCCAUGUGGAAGACCCAAGUUCGAUUCCUGGCCAAUGCA
rnacentral:tRNA from 1 species